AUUUUGAAAAAAAUGCGGAGGGACUAAGUUAAAAAUUUUAGAAACGCGGGGGGACUAAACUUUCAUUCCCUCCAACACUUAAACUUUUUUCCCUUUCUCUGAAACUUUCGAACCCUAAUUACUAACUCUCACUCCUUCCAAACCCUACUCCCUCUCUCUCCCUCUCUAGUUUCACAGGUAGCUAGCUCACACAAAUCGAGCCAUGGCUCCUCCCAGUAUUCUCGGUCCUCCGGAGUUCCACAAACCCUCACCCACCACCACCGCUCCGCCGCCACCCUAACCCAAAUCCAAACCCACCACCGGCGAACCCUUCGUGGACCUGAUGGUGGCGAAUUUCAACGACGUCGGAACCAAGCAUGACCUCCUAAUGGGCCUGACGGAGAACGACUCUGCCAUGUUUCUCUCCACCGGCAACCUCUGCCUCGAUCUCUUCUUCCACAUCAUCCCGAACACUCCAGGCGACUACCUCACCGAUGGGACUCCAAUGGUAGCCAGUGUCGUGUCAUUGGCUUCUUCCUUUAUCGCAGUCACUUUAUCUUCUUGACCUUCAUAUUCUUCUUCGUUUUUAACAAAACUAAGGCACGCGCCGAGUCUGUGACUUUGUUUUGCAGUCUCGCCCUUGAGAGGGAAGAAGCACAUGGCUCACACAAUUGCUCGCGCCACUCUGGGCCUCACUCAGAUUUCUCCGGUCUUUGAAGCCCCAAAGCUCACUUUCGCGACGAAAGAGAUUGAUGUAACGGAUUGGGUGGGGUGUUGGCUGAGGUCUGUCUGAGGAGGACUUCACACCAAAGUCUGGCCAGUCAACGGUUGUUAGGCUUCCUGGUCUUGGCUCGAAGAGGGUUGGCUUGUUUGGGCUUGGACAAUUUGCUUCGUCUACAGAAGCUUUUAAGGGUCUUGGGGAGGCUGCUGCAGCAGCGGCAAAGACUGCUCAAGCAAGUGAUAUUGCUAUUGUGCUUGCUUCCUCGGAGGGGCUUUCUGCGAAAUCUUGCAAAGCUUCUGCGAUAGCAUCUGGAGCUGUUUUGGGUAUAUAUGAAGACAAUAGGUAUAAAUCUGAGUCAAAGAAAUCAGCUCUCAAGUCUGUGGACAUUCUUGGUCUUGGAACUGGCCUGAACUUGAGAAGAAGCUCAAGUAUGCUCAAGAUGUUGCUUCUGGAAUAAUAUUUGGGAAAGAGCUCACGAAUUCACCUGCCAAUGUUCUCACACCUGGGAAACUAGCAGAAGAGGCCUCAAAAAUUGCUUCCUUAUAUAGUGAUGUUCUAUCUACAUAAAUAUUGAAUGAAGAGCAAUGCAAAUUGAAAUCGCUUGGUGAUUGUAUUCAGAUAUUCUUCUUCUUCAAUUCAUCAAUUGCCCCACCUCCUUUAAUUCACAUAUUUCACUAUGACAGAACAAAUGGAGGACUUUGAGAUUUCAAACCACUGAGCUUCUCUCUAUUUUGCUUCAAUACCAAAAAUCUACUUUCUCUUGGUUGGAGUGGUGUCGAAGAGUGAGGCUAUUCAAAUGGUCGAUGAGGCAGACCUUGAUUUGUGUGAUUAUGAUGGUCUGCAAUUAUCAACUAGCCCAUUUAUAGAGAGGAAUAUGGAAUUUCUUAUUGAGUGCAUGGAUGAUUUGUCAAUGGAACAGCAGAAUGUAUAUCUUCUCUUGACCUGAAAUUGACGAGGUGCGCAUUGAAGUGGCUGAUUAUAUGCAGAGUUUGGUGUAGGACUUUUGGCUACUAACAUGAUUUUGAGUAAGGCUAGUUUUUUGCUUUGAAGGAAAGUUUGGUGUAUGUAGAACUGAUGUAGUUGGUUGCUAAUAUGUUUAUGGGCUAGCCUUUGUAGGUUUUGGGGUUUUAUUUUGUGAAUUAUGUAGAAUCAUGAAUGAAGAUGAGAAAAUUAAUGGAAAGUCCCAAUUUUUGGAUGAUGAAA